CAGGAUUUCAGGUAGAAUGUCCAAUAUCGUAAGACAUGAUAAAUGUCCAAUUAGGGAUACAGUUCAAAGUUCCACAGGGGAAAUAGAUUGGGCUAAAACAAUGGACUUUUUUUAUGACAAUAUUUGUGCUAAGUUAAAAUGGUGAUGCUCACUUUUUUUGGCAUGCUUUCUGCGUACCCAGUUUUUUUCGAUUUUUCUCAUUAGUAAUUGAGGAAGCCAACAUGGCAGAUAGCAUGCUUAGACUAAUUUGGUUGACCAGCUGAAUUAAAUGGACUGUUAGUGAGCUACUUGCAGGCCUGUAGAUAUGCGUGAAUAAUUUUGGCUGAUAUCCGUAACGUUCCAGUCCACCUUCCUGCUAAUCUGUGUGGCAUGAGGGCAGAGUGGACAUAAUUGCUUCCUCUUUGGGGAUGCUAGCUAACGAGCACUCCUGGUGUUGACUGCCCAGUGUGGCAAGGAUCCCCAGUCCUCUGAGCCUUAUAAAGAUGAAAAAUAAUUUAAAAUUGCCCUGAAACAUGAAAGGCAGUGCCAUUCAUACUGUCUAGAUAUGUUUCACAUUGAGGACCUUCGAGCCUAAAUCCUAAACUACUUCAAACGUGGGAGUGCUUAAUGAAGCAGCAAUAGCAAAUGACAGAUCCUUCUAGGUCUCCCCUUCACCCCUGCCCCUGAAUCCUCCCUUACAGAACAUGCAACAUGAACCCUGUGUAGUAGAUUGAAUGGUUUGCUGUCUACAUCUAAGGAUUCUCCUCGGGACUAUAUCGUGCAGAUGAAGACCAGGAUAUCAGAGUUUUCUCACAAAGAUCAGGAAGCUGGAAUGACUUCAAAAAUACCAGCAGGGAAGAGAAUCACCGCUGGAAUCCAGUGGCUGGCAUGUUUGUGAUGGGCCAUCCCAGCUGGCAUCGUCCCUGACUCAGACACCCAGGUCUUGCUCUCUCAGUUUCCCUUGGCUUCUCUUGUCCCUCCCACUGACGUGCUCCUGCAACAAAAGACCGCAGAGCCUGGAAUCAAGUAGCUAAUCAGGAUGCAGCUGCCCUCUCGGCUCAAUCCUACUUAAUGUCUAUGUCAGCAGAUCCCUCGCCUCCUCUUCGUCUCAGUCCGAGAGCUGGGUUUUUAGCUUUCCGAAAUGGAAGCAUGUCUCAAGAGGAGGAUUAGCCAAUUGGCUAAAGA
rnacentral:lncRNA from 1 species